CCUACGGGUGGCUGCAGUGGGGAAUUUUGCGCAAUGGGCGAAAGCCUGACGCAGCAACGCCGCGUGGGUGAUGAAGGUCUUCGGAUCGUAAAACCCUGUCGUUGGGGACGAAGGUGGGGGCGUUAAUAGCGUUUCUGCUUGACGGUACCCGGAGAGGAAGCCCCGGCUAACUCUGUGCCAGCAGCCGCGGUAAUACAGAGGGGGCAAGCUGUGUUGGGAAUUAUUGGGCGUAAAGGGUGAAGUGAGAGUUGGAAUCCCCGAGCUCAACUUGGGAAAUGCAUCUGAGACUGGAAGGCUAGAGUACUGGAGAGGGUGGUGGAAUUCCUCGUGUAGCGGUGAAAUGCGUAGAGAUGAGGAGGAACACCAGUGGCGAAGGCGGCCACCUGGACAGUAACUGACGCUGAGGCGCGAAAGUGUGGGUAGCAAACAGGAUUAGAUACCCGUGUAGUC
rnacentral:rRNA from 1 species